GGUAAAAUGGCUGAUAAUAGGUGAUAAAUUGUAAAUUUAUUUAUGGGAUUAAAUAUCUCUUUUACCA
rnacentral:tRNA from 1 species